UGAAUCGGUCGUGUGUCCUCCGUCUGCUUCUGGUGCAGAGAGUACCAACUCCCAGGACGUGCCCCUGUCUGCCCUGGCCCUGGACGCCUCCUUCCUGCAUGGCAGCAUGAAAACGCUACACAACGCUCCUCACCCGCCCAGGAGUAUGUUAUGGUGCUGAGCUUGUUGGGUCUGUCUUAAUAACCUGAUUCCCUUCUGUUGUUCCCAGUGGCCUGGUUUGCUUUCGACCCUGGCUCGGCGCACUCGGACAUCAUCCUCUCCAAUGACAACCUGACAGUGACCUGUAGUAGCUAUGAUGACCGGGUGGUGCUAGGGAAGACUGGCUUCUCCAAGGGCGUCCACUACUGGGAGCUCACGGUAGAUCGCUAUGACAACCACCCUGAUCCUGCCUUUGGUGUGGCUCGCAUGGACGUGAUGAAGGAUGUGAUGUUAGGAAAAGACGACAAAGCUUGGGCAAUGUAUGUGGACAAUAACCGGAGCUGGUUCAUGCACAACAACUCGCACACCAACAGAACUGAGGGAGGGAUCACAAAAGGGGCCACAGUUGGGGUCCU
rnacentral:sRNA from 1 species